CCAGGACAAGACUCUCUGGAAGACGUGGUAUAACUCCUGGCUUCCGUGAGGGCAGCGCUGGGUGCAGGGACGGGCGGAGCGGGCAGGAGCUCUGGAGCACCAGGAGGUGGGAGAACCAAGGUCUGUAGGUCACACAGCCUUGUAAAUGGCCAACCUGGGACUUGAAGUGGUAUCUCGUAGGCUCCAUCCCUCCAUCACCACAGUCUCCAAGAGGCACUCCUCUCAAGCUGGAGGAAUUCGUGAGUCUGCAGUGGUCGCGGGAAAGAGGGCAAGAAAUCAAGCAGGAGACGACAACGGGGCUGGGUCUUGACAGGUUUGGGUGCCAGGCCAAGGAGCUUGGACUUCAUUUUAUGAACAGUUGGGAGGCAGGAGAGGACUUUUUUCCUCUUUGUUAAUGAAGUCAGAUGUCUCUGUCACAUCCUUUACUUUUUUUAAGUUGAGAUAUCAAAUGCAUAAAGGACACUGGACUUAAGUGAACAAUUAAGUGAACUUUUCCUGUAUCUACUUCCAUAAAAUGUCUACCCAUGUCAAGGCACAGAUCACUUCCAGUAUCACAGAAUGUUCCCAUAUGUUCCUUUCCCGUCAAAACUGCCUCCCCCAAGACACUGCUCUGACUUCUGUCACUAUCAAUUAGUUUUACCUUUUUUUGACUUUAUACAAACUAAAUCGUAGAGUUUCUGGCCUGUGGCCUCCAGAGACGACUGCAAUAUCAUAAAGAGUGUGUGUGCACAGACCUUUACAACUGCUUCAACUGAUAGACUAUGGCAGAAGUGUCGCUGUGCAAUCUCUGGGUGGAUCAUAAAAAUGCCACAUACUGGACCACACCGUUUUGGGACAGUGACACUCGGAGCCCAGCCCCCAUGCCCCGAGGAAGCUCCAGCAGCCUGGUAGAGUCCCACCGGAGAGGAAUCCACCGCCCGGGCUGAGCUCCCAGCACCUGCCAGCAACAACCUGCCAGUGUGCAAGAGAGCCAUCGGGAAAGAGCUCCUCCGCCAGCCCCAGUCGCGCCACCCCGAGGUUGCCAUCGUUGAAGCAGAGAUGAGUCGCCCACUGCAUCCUGCUCAGAUUGCACCUUGUGAGCAAAUUAAGUUUUCUCUGUGCCACUAAGUUUGGGAUGGUUUGUUACGCUGUGAUAGACAACCACAACAUGAUCUGUGAGAGCAUUUUAAGGAGAAGAGUGAUGUUUAAGUCUUUUACCCUGUAUAUAAUGAAAAACUCAACACAACCAGCUUAAGGAGUAAAAAGAGAAAGAAAGAAAAGAGGAGUACGGAGCCUCCUAGCUCAAAGAGGGUUAAUUCGGGCAUGGUUAGAUCCAGGCCUUCCUCAGCCACCAGGACCCUGCCUAUGCAUUGGCUCAUUCUCUGUCUCCAUGUGGUGGCAAGAGGCCUGCCAGCACUCAAGGCUACAUGCUCCCAGCCUCAAACAUGAGCAGAAGAGGGCUGCCCCUCUCUCCACAGCCCCAGCCUGGGUCCCCUCCCAUCUCCUUGCCUCUGAUUGGGCCAUGGGCCCAUAUUGAACCGAUGAUGAUGUCUAUGCUUGAACUGCUCAAGCCUGAGUCCCAUGUGGGCCCCUGGAGCAGGGCUGCAGUGGGCAUUGGGAGGGCAAUUCCCAGGGAAAGAGAGUAGGGGGCUGGGGGGCAAAACGAUGUCCACCAGGAACAUUUUAAGCACAUGGCUCUGGUCAGCUUAGGGCCAGAGCUCACCUGUGAGGGACACAGAGCAGGAGAGUGUGAUGGCUUCAUGCCAACUUUCCACAGCUGGUAACACUUGCAGGAUUGAGUCCCGCCAUCCCUGGGUCUCUUGUGUCCUGUUCCCAUUCAAAGAACAGCAUGCUCAAAACCCAGCCCUGAGAUGAUGAGGAAAAAUAAUAUUUAAAGGCACCUAUUAAAGAUACUCAGAGGGCCCUUCGAAUGUCAAACAGCUGCGAGCAAACUCUAAUUUGAUGAUCUAUGUACUAAUGAAUCCCAGACAUGCAGAUUAAAUUCUCUUUAAAUUGCACGUGGUUUUAAAAUGUAUUUCU